CCUACGGGAGGCAGCAGUGGGGAAUAUUGGACAAUGGGGGGAACCCUGAUCCAGCCAUGCCGCGUGUGUGAAGAAGGCCCUCGGGUUGUAAAGCACUUUCAGUGAGGAAGAACGCCUGGUGGUUAAUACCCAUCAGGAAAGACAUCACUCACAGAAGAAGCACCGGCUAACUCCGUGCCAGCAGCCGCGGUAAUACGGAGGGUGCGAGCGUUAAUCGGAAUUACUGGGCGUAAAGCGCGCGUAGGUGGCUUGAUAAGCCGGUUGUGAAAGCCCCGGGCUCAACCUGGGAACGGCAUCCGGAACUGUCAAGCUAGAGUGCAGGAGAGGAAGGUAGACUUCCCGGUGUAGCGGUGAAAUGCGUAGAGAUCGGGAGGAAUACCAGUGGCGAAGGCGGCCUUCUGGACUGACACUGACACUGAGGUGCGAAAGCGUGGGUAGCAAACAGGAUUAGAUACCCCUGUAGUC
rnacentral:rRNA from 1 species